UGAAUACGAGACGCUACGGCGUCGAAGCAGUCUAUGUCAUACUUCCAAGUAAAGCUCGCAAUGUCAUAAACAAAUAAUGCCUGUACCAUAACCGACACAGGUGGGUAGGUAGAGUAUACUAAGGGGCGCGAGAUAACUCUCUCUAAGGAACUCGGCAAAAUGACUCCGUAACUUCGGGAGAAGGAGUGCCUUCUUUAGAAGGUUGCAAUAACAAGAUCCAAGCAACUGUUUAUCAAAAACACAGGUCUCCGCUAAGUCGUAAGACGAUGUAUGUGGGCUGACGCCUGCCCAGUGCCAGAAGGUUAAAGAAGUUGGUUAGCAUUCGCGAAGCUGAUAACUGAAGCCCUGGUGAACGGCGGCCGUAACUAUAACGGUCCUAAGGUAGCGAAAUUCCUUGUCGGGUAAGUUCCGACCCGCACGAAAGGCGUAAUGAUUUGGAUACUGUCUCGGAGAGGGGCUCGGUGAAAUAGACUUGUCUGUGAAGAUGCGGACUACCUGCACCUGGACAGAAAGACCCUAUGAAGCUUUACUGUGACUUGAAAUUGAAAUUGGACUUUAUUUGCGCAGCAUAGGUGGGAGGCGUUGAGAGUAUUCUUGCGGGAAUAUUGGAGCCAUCAGUGAGAUACCACUCUUGUAAUGUUAGAUUUCUAACUUUGUAUCCUAACCGGGUCAAAGAACAGUUUCAGGCGGGCAGUUUGACUGGGGCGGUCGCCUCCCAAACGGUAACGGAGGCGUACAAAGGUUUCCUCAACGGGUAGAAAUCGUAUCUAGAGUGUAAAGGCAUAAGGAAGCUUGACUGUGAGACCUACAAGUCGAGCAGGGACGAAAGUCGGUCUUAGUGAUCUGACGGUGCUGAGUGGAAAGGCCGUCACUCAACGGAUAAAAGUUACUCUAAGGAUAACAGGCUGAUCUCCCCCAAGAGUUCACAUCGACGGGGAGGUUUGGCACCUCGAUGUCGGCUCAUCGCAUCCUGGGGCGGUAGUACGUCCCAAGGGUUGGGCUGUUCGCCCAUGAAAGCGGUACGCGAGCUGGGUUCAGAACGUCGUGAGACAGUUCGGUCCAUAUCCGGUGUAGGCGUUAGAAUAUUGAGAGGAGCCUUCUUUAGUACGAGAGGACCGAGAAGGACAUACCUCUGGUGUACCAGUUAUCGUGCCAACGGUAAACGCUGGGUAGCUAUGUAUGGAGAGGAUAACCGCUGAAAGCAUCUAAGUGGGAAGCCCACCUC
rnacentral:rRNA from 1 species